rnacentral:rRNA from 1 species
AUCUUUAAAAUUAAAGAUUUUGGCGGUAUUUUAGUCUUUUCAGAGGAACCUGUUUUUUAAUUGAUAAUCCACGAUUAAUUGUACUUUAUUUUUAAAUUUAUAUAUCAUCGUAUUAUAAAUAUUUUAAAAUUUAAUAUUUUCAGAUCAUGGUGUAGUUGAUAAUAAAGAUAAAAUGGGUUACAAUAAAAAGUUAAAUUAAAUUGGAUUUGAAAGUAAGCUCUAAAAUAUGCACAUAUCGCCCGUCGCUUUCAUUAUAAAAUGAAAUAAGUCGUAACAAAGUAGGUUUAUUGGAAAAUGUACCUAGAAUGCAAAUUAGAGCUUGAUAAGUAUUUUAUUUACAUUAAAAAGUUAAUUGUGAAAUUCAAUUUAAUUUGAAUUUUAAAUUUUAUUAAUUUAUUUUUUUUGUUUUUAUUAAUUUAAGUAUAGAAAAUUUUAUUAUUUUAUGAAAAAAUUUUAUUAUAGUUUAUAGUAUUGUGAAAGAAAAUUUUUAAAUUUGAAAAAGAAAAUUUAAUUUAUUGUACCUUGUGUAUCAGGGUUUAUUAAUUUAAUUUUCUCGAUUUUAAAAGAGUUAAUUUUAUUGUAAAAUAAAUAUUUAAAAUUAUUAAUUAGUAAUGAAAUGUUAAUCGUUUUUAAAUAUAUCUAGUUUUUUAAGAAAUAAAUUAAAUUUAUUAAUUAUUUUAUAUUAAAAUUAAGGGAUAAGCUUUUAAAUAAAUUUUUAUAAAAUAUGUCUAUUUAAAAAAUUAUAGGAUUAGAAUUUUCUAUUAAUAAAAGGAUGUUAUAAUUAAUAUUUUUAAAUUUUUUAUUAAAAUUUUAAUUUUAAUAGUAUUAAUUAAGUAAUAAUGAUAAAAUUAGUAAAUUUAUAUUAAGGAAUUCGGCAAAAUAUUUUUCACCUGUUUAAUAAAAACAUGGCUUUUUGAUAAUAAUUUAAAGUCUGACCUGCCCUAUGAUUAAAUGGCCGCAGUAUUUUGACUGUGCAAAGGUAGCAUAAUCAUUAGUUUUUUAAUUAAAAGCUGGAAUGAAGGGUUUGAUGAAAAAAUAACUGUCUCUAGAAUUUUAAAUUUAAGUUAAAAAGCUUAAAUUUUUUAAAAAGACGAGAAGACCCUAUAGAGUUUUUUUAUUGGGGUGAUAUAAAAAUUUAAUAAACUUUUUAAUUUUAUGAAUAAGUGAUCCUAGAUUAAAAGAAAAAAUUACCUUAGGGAUAACAGCGUAAUUUUUUUAGAGAGUUCUAAUUG